rnacentral:lncRNA from 1 species
CGUAGAACGACCCUGAACGAAACCUGCGGUCAUCACCACAAUGACAACAAUUCCCAUUGUUCAUUGCGCUGACUUUCACCUAUCUAUCAACGGACAUCGCUCCUCGAGGUUCUAUGGGGGCUGUAGUUAUUUUUUUCCCACGGAAGUAUCAUCCCAUUUUCCAUAGGUUUCGCAAGGUUUGCAUUGACGGUAGUGUGCGUUUCUCUGUUGGAAGAAUUUAGUCGUUUUGGCAUGAAAUUCGUGUACAGCAGUAUUUGAAGUUUUGGAGGCAUGUCCAAGAAAAGGGGCAGAAAGCGGAGUAGCGGGGAGCUGAGUGACACCACAGUGAUGACCCCUGACCCCAACAGUCUCCUAGGAGUGAGAAUACAACACAACUGGAGGGAGAAGGGCAACCAGAGCAAAUGGAAAGGCACCGUCCUGGACCGUCUCAGUGUCAACCCCUCACUAUUCAUGGUCAAGUACGACGGGUUUGACUGCGUCUACGGCAUCGAGCUAUUCAAGGACGAAAGGGUGUCUAAUCUACAGGUCCUCACAGAGAAACUUGUCAACAACAAGAUCAAGGUUCCUCACGGGGCAGAGGAUUUGGUAGGCAAAGCGGUGGAGCACCUUUUUGAGAAGGAGGAUGGAGAGAAGAAUGAGUGGCGAGGCAUGGUCCUCUCCAGAGCUCCCAUUAUGACUAACUGGUAUUACAUCACCUAUGAGAAGGACCCAGUGCUAUACAUGUACCAGCUGUGGGACGAUUAUGCCGAGGGAGAUCUCAGGAUCUUACCUGAAGCAGAAAAUAAGCACUUGCUUCCGGCCGACCGAAAGCCAGGCGAGGAGACUGAGAGUCUUGUGGGUAAGCAGGUGGAGUAUGUUACUGACAAAGGUGUGAAGCGAACAGGCCUAGUGAUCUACCAAGUCCCUGCCAAGCCCUCUGUAUACUACAUCAAAUACGACGAUGACUUUCACAUCCAUGUCUACGACCUGGUCAAGACCACAUAGGACACUUCUUUACUCACUCCAUCGCUUACUUUUCACUUAUCCUCCUCUCUCUAUCUCUCGAACUCUCUAAAGGCCCUGGAGGGUUUAACAGUUAUGCUUUGUCAUUCAGGAAGUGCAAUCUAUUAGUCCACAUUCAAUCUAGUUCUAUGAUAUGCACAGCAGAACUGUAGCAAUGCUAUUGUAGGCCACUAGGAGGAGGGUGGGAACGUGUACACUUGGAAGGACCUUUUUACCCUCCCCACUUCUUUGGUUACCCCAUUUUGUGGUUGUGCUCCACCGUAGACUCACAUCUUGGACAGUCCAGGAGUGCACCUUGCCCUAUGACAGACUCACAUCUUGGACAGUCCAGGAGUGCACCUUGCCCUAUGACAGACUCACAUCUUGGACAGUCCAGGAGUGCACCUUGCCCUAUGACAGACUUACAGUAUAGUGCAAGAACGACCACAUUUCAAUUGUUUCUCACAUCUUGAUGCUUAAUUCAAAGCAGAACUGAAUUAUAUAUUAUAAAACUAAAAGCUGCCCCCAGUAGCCAUUCAUAUUUGUUCCUUGAAUGACCAAACAGUGAGCAUGAUGUAUAAGUGAUUAUUUGUAGAGACUAGUUUGAGCUGUUUUGUUCAGUGAAGUGUUAGCUUUGAAAGUGAAAUGCAGUAAGCUGUGAUGCCCCUGAAAGCAUCAUUACAUUUUUUUGUUGUCUUUAUUAAUAGGCAACUAACUUUGUUUGAUUUGUGUCAGUCAGUUCAUAGACAAUCAUUCCUUGAUAAACCCACAGUGCUAUCAUUGGAUUCAUAGCACUGGGUUGCACUGGCCUAGGAGUAGUGUAUAGCAGUGUUUCCCAACUCCAGUCCUCGAGUACCCCCAACAGCACACCAUUUUGUUGUUGGCCCGGACAAACUCACCUGAUUCAGCUCAUUGAGGGCUUGAUGAUUAGUUAACCAUUGGAAUCUGUGUGCUUGUCCAGGGCUACAACAAAAAUCUUUGCUGUUGGGGUUAUUGGACGACUGGAGUUGAGAAGCACUGCUGUGUGGUGAUGGUUCAAACACUAUUUUGAACUGCCUCAAAUAACACUCAUAAUGCUGAAUCAAGACUUGUUAGAAACAAGGAAUACAGGUUUUCAUAAAGUUAGGGCCGAGAGUUUUUCUUGACCACACAACCUGAUGAGUUGUCCAGAUCAGGAAAACUCCUCACCCUAACAAUACCUGACAUGUUCAAAACAUCAUCAGACUGUAUGAUUAGCUUGAGGAGUAGAAUAGAGGCAGGGCUUUACACUACAUUCUGAUCUUCAAUAGAAAAUAAACAAGCAUCAUAAAGUGCCUUCAGGCUGAUCAUGUUGCCAUACUCUAUAUGUUUGCUAACCUCUCACAAUUUUAUUCUGUUUAAUGUUAAAGCCACUAUUUGGUCAGUAUUAGUAAAAGUAAAAAAUGCUCGAAAGAAACAAAUGUGUCAAAGACUACGUGACAAGGUUGUUGCUAUUGUCGGUUUGUAUUAGAGAAUAUGUGCAAUGUUGGCAGUUAAUGCAGUAUACAAUAAUGUCCCCCAAUAUAACAUCCAUGACCAACAACAACAAGUGGUAUAUUGUAGCAAUGGUAAACCAUAAUGGUAAAACGCAUGGAGAAAAUAAAACAUUUAUGACACGGCAUACAGUAUUUCAUCUGUAACUUUAGAUUGUGUUGUAAAUGUAUGCUGUUGUGAUUACUCCCGUUAUAUUGUAAAUAUCCCAUUGAAACACCAGCUUUAAAACUCAUCUAGAAAUCUCACUUAGAGAAAUGCAGCAAAGACAGCUUCCAAAAAAUCCUUAGGCCUGGUCCCUUGAGAGGAAAAAUACAAGUUUUCACUUUUUAAUCUUAUUUUAAAGACUUGGGAGCUACACUCCAUAAUGUAAUCCCAGGAAGCCCACAAACUCCAAUGGACUGGCUAGGAGAAUUCAGAUUUACAGUCUCCUGUCCUACUCACCACUCCAGGGUAUCCAGUCCAGGGUAUCCAGUCUAUCUCUUUACACAGUACAUUGGUCCAUGGUGCAUAAGGGUCAUUGUACUUAGGCUGUGUUUAGACAGGCAGCCAAUUCUUGUUGGUGAUCUUGUUUUUCACUAAUUGGUCUUUUGACCAAUCAGAUUAGCUCUGAAAAAGAUCUGUGAAAGGAUCUGAUGUGAUUGGUCAAAAGACCAAUUAGCGAGAAAUAAAUACUGAAUUGGGCUGCCAGUAUAAAUGUAGCCUUUUAUUGUCAGAUGUGCAUGCAUAACUUGAAUGCAACCAAGCAUAUUGGUUAUGACAGUUGCAGAGGUAUAAUAUGAUAUAUCUGGCAGAUAAUUUUGUGGCAGUCUUUGCAGUCCAAUUUUAGUAAAAUAUUUAGCUAGAAAAUGUGACUGUAAAAAAAUAAAAUUGUCAGGGCUUAUCUAUAGACGGGUUAGCUGACGUCACGAAAACGAUGCGCACGCUUCAAUGGGGCAGAAGACAGUGUGUUGUGAUUCUGGAUGGUCAGAUAGCUAGCAAAAAUGUCAAGAACCUGCCACGUGGGGAAUCUGUAGGUGGCUCGUUUUACCUAGUUCUUGAUACCAUGUCUUGUUUUGAGGCGUUUUGACUGAUGUCACAUCUAUGCUAAUAUUCUGUAACGUUAUAUUUGAGGGACAAGUGUAUGGGGUCAAUUUCACGCUAUAAUUAUUGAAUUCAAAAAUAUUAAAAAAAUGUGAACAUGAAAAAUAAAGUUGGGAAUGUAAACAUAUUUUAGAGAACGGGUGAAAUAAUGGAUGUUGAAAUCAAAAACCAAACAAUUGAAAGCAAAAUGUAUAGAAUUGGAAACACAAAUAAGACAAACUUUUAAGCAAAUAAUUUUAAAGCGAGAGCAAAACUCUAUGACAAAUUAUAUAUUUUUUUUAUUUGAAAACGAAUGCAAAAAUAGUUUUCGGUUAAACUUUCAACCAAUCCUAUUGAAUACAUUUUGCCUACGCUCUUGCCUGCAUGUGCUACCUUUUUGUUACGCAACUCGUAUCUUUGCUUUCUAUGUCCGUUUCUUUGCUCUCACUGCCAGUCUUUUCGAUUGUAAGUUUUGGCAUUAUUUUUCCGUGAAGAGCGGGGUUUAGAGGGAUGCGUAGACAAUGAGUCUCCAUUGGUCCACUCGUUUUGGAUUGACGGUUCGUCUUAACCCAAUCAAUGAACAUGAUAGACAGGCUUUUUUUCUAUUACCUACUUAGGUAGACGGUCUGACGUCACCUGGUUUUAGGGUUUUAGCUAACGUACUUCAAAAUUGUCAGUCACGGGUCAAUAAUGUACGGAUAUUAGAAGCAUGUCUAUCUAAUACAUUUAAUGACAAACCAUCUAACUACUUAGGUAAACAUAUGACUUACACCUGCGCCAAACGUUGUGCAACAGGUUAUUCAUAUGUUUACCUAAGUAGUUAGAUGGUUUGUCAUUAAAUGUAUUAGAUAGACAUGCUUCUAAUAUCCAUACAUUAUUGACCCGUGACUGACAAUUUUGAAGUACGUUAGCUAAAACCAGGUGACGUCAGACGGUCUACUUAGACAAGCUUUUUUCUAUUACCUACUUAUCGUGUUCAUUGAUUGGGUUAAGACGAUCCGUCACUCCAAAACUAGUGGACCAAUGGAGACUCAUUGUCUACACCUCCCUCUAAACCCCGCUCUUCACGGAAAAAUAAUGUCAAAACUCACAAUCGAAAAGACUGGCAGUGAAAGCAAAGAAACAGCCAACAAAAGCAAAGAUACGAGUAGCGUAACCAAAAGGUAGUACAUGCAGGCAAGAGCGUAGGCAAAAUGUAUUCAACAGGAUUGGUUGCUGGGAAAGUUUAACCGAAAACAAUUUUUGCAUUCGUUUUCAAAUAUAUAUAUAUAUUUUUACCAUUUGUCAUAGUUUUCCUCUCGCUUUAAAAUGAUUUGCUUACAAGUUUUUGGCUUUUGAUGUCUCAUUUUUGUUUACAAUUCUAUACAUUUUGCUUUCAAUUGUUUGGUUUUUCAUUUCAACAUCCAUUAUUUCACCCGUCCUCGAAAAUAUGUUUACAUUCUCAACUUUAUUUUUCAUGUUGACGUUAUAUUUUAUUUUGAAUUCAAUACAUAUGGAGUGAAAUUGACCCCAUACAAGUGCUCAUUGUGCACAUUUAUGUUUUCAAUAAACAUUGGAGACAAAAUAUAGUUUGUCAAAAAUCUAAGCCAACCCUGUAUGUUUUGCCCCAUAGUUGCGUACGUGUCGGUUUUGUUGCUAAACUACCAAUCUCUUAAUGCUACUUGUAUCACCACCAUUUGUGUUGUGGUGUUUCUAUGUACAGUAAAAUGAAACUCCAAAAGAUUGUGUGCACUCUUCUGUUAUUGUUCAUCUUUUUUUUUUUUUUUUACUCCUCCCAGGUCUGGAGUUGUAGCAAUCCAUAACACAUUUGUGUAAUUGUUAUGUCAUGAGUAAUACAUUAUUUUAUUUUUUUGCACAUCCCUUUUCUCUGCCAUUUUUCACCCAUUGGAUGUGAUUUAGGUUCAGAAUGAUGUACAGUUGUGAUUUAAUUUGACUGAAACUUUUAAAAACCCCACUCCCCCCAAAGUUAUAGGACUUUGAGGCAGUAUACAUUGUAGAAUGUAAUUAAUAAUACUACUGACCCAACCUCACAUCCAAGUACUUUACCUAAGUAGGCUAUGACAUAUCUUAAAGUGCUUUCCAACCAGGGGUACGAGGACCCCUGCGGGUAUUUGGCCUUUCCACAGGGAGUACAUGAGAAGACGCAUGAGACCAUAGGCCAGGGUUCCCCACCUGGCAGCCCGCAGGGGUUUUUAUUUGUCCCCCCCAAGUUGAGCCUCCCUUCCAAAAAUAAUAAUAUAUUUUGUAUUUUAGACAUAAGGCUGUAAAAAUACCAGCAAAUCAGCUACAAGUGAUUUUAAUUUAAUUUUGGAAAUCUGUUCCAAAGUAUUCCCACACAUAAGAGAGAUAUGUGAUCAUACUGUACAGUGCCUUCGGGAAGUAUUCAGACCCCUUGACCUUUUCCACAUUUUGUCACGUUACAGCCUUAUUCUGAAAUGAAUUAAAUAAAACAAUUUCCUCACCAUCUACACACAAUACCCCAUAAUGACAACACGAAAUAGGUUUUUGGAAAUGUUAGCAAAUUGAUGACAUACUUAUUUACGUAUGUAUUCCGACCCUUUGCUAUUAGACUUGAAAUUGAGCUCAGGUGCAUUCUGAUUCCAUUGAUCAUCCAUGAUGUUUUUACAACUUGAUUGGAGUCCGCCUGAGGUAAAUUCAAUUGAUUGGACAUGAUUUGGAAAGGCCCACACCUGUCUAUAUAAGUUGACAGUGCAUGUCAGAGCAAGAUCCAAGCAAUGACUUCGAAGGAAUUGUCCGUAGAGCGCCGAGACAGGAUUGUGUCGAGGCACAGAUCUGGGGAAAACAUUUCCACAGCAUUGAAGGUCCCUAAGAACACAGUGGACUCCAUCAUUCUUAAAUGGAAGAAGUUUGGAACCACCAAGAGCUGGCCACCCGGUCAAACGGAGCAAUCGGGGGGGAGAAGGGCCUUGGUCAGGGAGGUGACCAAGAACCCGAUGGUCACUGACAGAGCUCUAGAGUUCCUCUGUGGAGAUGGGAGAACCUUCCAGAAGGACAACCAUCUCUGCAGCACUCCACCAAGUAGGCCUUUAUGGUAGUGUGGCAAGACGGAAGCUACUCCUCAGUAAGACACAUGACAGCCCGCUUGGAGUUGGCCAAAGACUUUGCCAAAAGACUCUCAGACCAUGAGAAACAAGAUUCUCUGGUCUGAGGAAACCAAGUUAGAAUUUUUUGGCCUGAAUGCCAAGUGCCACGUCUGGAGGAUACCUGGCAACAUCACUACAGUGAAGCAUGUUUUUCAGCUGCAGGGACUGGGAGACUAGUUAGGAUUGAGGCAAAGAUGAACAGAGCAAAGUACAGAGAGAUCCUUGAUGAAAACCUGCUCCAGAGCACUCAGGACCUCAAGCUUGGGCGAAGGUUCACCUUCCAACAAGUCAACAACCCUAAGCACACAGUCAAGACAGGCAACAUCCGCACUGAGCUAAAGGGUAGAGCUGCCGCUUUCAAAGAGCGGGACUCUAACCCGGAAGCUUAUAAGAAAUCCCGCUAUGCUCUCAGAUGAACCAUCAAAGGCAAAGCGUCAAUACAGGACUAAGAUCGAAUCGUACUACACUGGCUCCGACGCGUCGGAUGUGGCAGGGCUUGCAAACUAUUACAGACUACAAAGGGAAGCACAGACGAGAGCUUCCCAGUGACACAAGCCUACCAGACAAGCUAAAUUACUUCUAUGCUCGCUUCGAGGCAAGUAACACUGAAACAUGCAUGAGAACAUCAACUGUUCCGGAGACUGUGUGAUCAUGCUCUCCGCAGCUGAUGUAAGGCCUUUAAACAGGUCAACAGUCACAAGGCCGCAGGGCCAGACGGAUUACCAGGACACGUACUCCGAGCAUGCGCUGGCCAACUGGCAAGUGUCUUCACUGACAUUUUCAACCUCUCCCUGUCCGAGUCUGUAAUACCAACAUGUUUCAAGCAGACCACCAUAGUCCCUGUGCCCAAGAACACUAAGGUAACCUGCCUAAAGGACUACCGACCCGUAGCACUCAUGUCUGUAGCCAUGAAGUGCCUUCCCUGUAGCUCAGUUGGUAGAGCAUGGUGUUUGCAACACCAGGGUUGUGGGUUCGAUUCCCACGGGGGGCCAGCACAGGAAAAAAAAAAUGUAUGAAAUUAAAUGUAUGCAUUCACUACUGUAAGUCGCUCCGGAUAAGAGCGUCUGCUAAAUGACUAAAAAAAUAAAUAAAAAAAAGUGCUUUGAAAGGCUGGUCAUGGCUCACAUCAACACCAUUAUCCCAGAAACCCUAGAACCACUCCAAUUUGCAUACUUCCCCAACAGAUCCACAGAUGAUGCAAUCUCUAUUGCACUCCACACUGCCCUUUCACACCUGGACAAAAGGAACACCUAUGUGAGAAUGCUAUUCAUUGACUACAGCUCAGCAUUCAACACCAUAGUGCCCUCAAAGCUCAUCACGAAGCUGAGGACCCUGGGACUAAACACCUCUCUCUGCAACUGGACCCUGGACUUCCUGACGGGCCGCACCCAGGUGGUAAGGGUAGGUAACAACACAUCCGCCACGCUGAUCCUCAACACGGGCGCCCCUCAGGGGUGCGCUCUCAGUCCCCUCCUGUACUCCGUGUUCACUCAUGACAGCACAGUCAGGCACGACUCCAACACAAUCAUUAAGUUUGCAGACGACACACUAGUGGUAGACCUGAUCACCGACAAUGACGAGACAGCCUACAGGGAGGAGGUCAGAGACUUGACCGUGUGGUCCAAGGGCAACAACCUCUCCCUCAACAUGAUCAAGACAGAGGAGAUGAUUGUGGACUACAGGAAAAGGAGGCCCAAGCAUGCCCCCAUUCUCAUCGACGGGGCUGUAGUGAAGCAGGUUGAGAGCUUCAAGUAUCUUGGCAUCCACAUCACCAACAAACUAACAUGGUCCAAGUACACCAAGACUCCCGAGUGGUGCAGCGGUCUGGGCUCCCGAGUGGCGCAGCGGUCUAAGGCACUGCAUCUCAGUGCAAGAAGCAUCACUAUUGUCCCUGGUUUGAAUCCAGGCUGUAUGACAUCCGGCCGUGAUUGGGAGUCCUAUAGGGUGGCGCACAAUUGGCCCAGCGUCAUCCAGGUUUAGCCGGGUUGGGCCGUCAUUGUAAAUAAGGAUUUGUUCUUAACUGACUUAACAUGUUUUUUAAAAAAAACUUUAAAAAAAAAGAAAGACUGUCGUGAAGCUGGCACGACAACCUAUUCCCCCUCAGGAGACUGAAAAGAUUUGGCAUGGGUCCUCAGAUCGUCAAAAAGGUUCUCCAGCUGCACCAUCGAGAGCAUCCUGACGGGUUGCAUCACUGCCUGGUAUGGCAACUGCUCGGCCUCCGACCACAAGGCACUACAGAGGGUAGUGCGUACGGCCAAGUACAUCACUGGUGGCCAAGCUUCCUGCCAUCCAGGACCUCUAUACAAGCCAGUGUCAUAGGAAGGCCCUAAAAAUGGUCAAAGACUCCAGCCACCCUAGCCAUAGACUGUUCUCUCUGCUACCGCAUGGCAAGCGGUACUGGAGCGCCAAAUCUUGGUCCAAGAGGCUUCUAAACAACUUCUACCCCCAAGCCAUAAGACUCCUGAACAUCUAAUCAAAUGGCUACCCAGACUAUUUUCAUUGCCCCCCCACCCCCCUCUUUUACCCUGCUGCUCUUUGUUAUUAUCUAUGCAUAGUCACUUUAAUAACUCUACCUACAUGUACAUAUUACCUCAACUAACCGUUGUCCCCGCACAUUGACCGGUACCCCCGUAUAUAGCCUUGCUAUUGUUAUUUUACUGCUGCUCUAAUUAUUUGUAACUUUUUUUUUUCUUAACUGCAUUGUUGGUUAAGGGCUUGUAAGUAAGCAUUUCACUGUAAGGUCUACACCUGUUGUAUUUGACGCAUGUGACAAACCUGAGAUGAUCUGCAGAGUAGAAUGAGAGAAACUCAGGUGUGCCAAGAUUGUGCCAAGCUUGUAGCUUCAUACCCAAGAAGACUCGAGGCUGUAAUCACUGCCAAAUGUGCUUCAACAAAGUACUUGGUAAAGGGUCUGAAAACUUAUGUAAAUGAGAUUUCAUUUUUGUAUUUGUAAUAAAUUAGCAAAAAUUUCAAAACAGCGUUUGCUUUGUCAUUAUGGGGUAUUGUGUGGAUUGAUGAGGGGGGGGAAAAAACUAUUUCAACAAUUUUAGAAUAAGGCUGUAACCUAACAAAAUGUGGAAAAAGUCAAGGGGUCUGACUACUUUCCGAAGGCACUGCUUCUACUUCUGUAGCGCUUGCUGUUUGGGGUUUUAGGCUGGGGUUCUGUAUAGCACUUUGUGACAUCCGAUUUAAAAAGGUCUUUAAAAAUACAUUUGAUUGUAUAUACCAUACUGCUCAAAAGUUUGGGGUCACUUAAAUGUCCUUGUUUUUGAAAGAAAAGCACAUUUUUUGUCCAUUAAAAUAACUUCAAAUUG